ACGCUGUGAUUCCUUGUGAGAUCCCUUCGGGGUGAUCACUCUGGAAACACUUGUCGCUGUCGAGUGGCGGACGGGUGAGUAAUGCGUAGGAAUUUGCCCUGAGGUGGGGGAUAGCCCGGAGAAAUCCGGAUUAAUACCGCGUAACCUCUACGGAGCAAAGUGGGCCUCUUCUUGAAAGCUCACGCCUUGGGAUAAGCCUACGUCGGAUUAGCUUGUUGGUAGGGUAACGGCCUACCAAGGCGACGAUCCGUAGCUGGUCUGAGAGGAUGAUCAGCCACACUGGAACUGAGACACGGUCCAGACUCCUACGGGAGGCAGCAGUGGGGAAUAUUGCACAAUGGGCGCAAGCCUGAUGCAGCAAUGCCGCGUGUGUGAAGAAGGCCUGCGGGUUGUAAAGCACUUUUAUCAGGAAAGAACCUGUCUGGGGAUAAUACCCCCAGGCACUGACGGUACCUGAGGAAUAAGCACCGGCUAACUCCGUGCCAGCAGCCGCGGUAAUACGGAGGGUGCGAGCGUUAAUCGGAAUUACUGGGCGUAAAGCGAGUGCAGGCGGCUACGUAAGUCGGAUGUGAAAGCCCUGGGCUUAACCUGGGAAUUGCAUUCGAUACUGCGUGGCUAGAGUCUGGUAGAGGGAAGUGGAAUUCCAGGUGUAGCGGUGAAAUGCGUAGAUAUCUGGAGG
rnacentral:rRNA from 1 species